GAUGAACGCUGGCGGCGCGCCUAAUACAUGCAAGUCGAGCGAACAGACGAGGAGCUUGCUCCUCUGACGUUAGCGGCGGACGGGUGAGUAACACGUGGAUAACCUACCUAUAAGACUGGGAUAACUUCGGGAAACCGGAGCUAAUACCGGAUAAUAUAUUGAACCGCAUGGUUCAAUAGUGAAAGACGGUUUUGCUGUCACUUAUAGAUGGAUCCGCGCCGCAUUAGCUAGUUGGUAAGGUAACGGCUUACCAAGGCAACGAUGCGUAGCCGACCUGAGAGGGUGAUCGGCCACACUGGAACUGAGACCCGGUCCAGACUCCUACGGGAGGCAGCAGUAGGGAAUCUUCCGCAAUGGGCGAAAGCCUGACGGAGCAACGCCGCGUGAGUGAUGAAGGUCUUCGGUUCGUAAAACUCUGUUAUUAGGGAAGAACAAAUGUGUAAGUAACUAUGCACGUCUUGACGGUACCUAAUCAGAAAGCCACGGCUAACUACGU
rnacentral:rRNA from 1 species